ACUCAAAGGAAUUGACGGGGGCCCGCACAAGCGGUGGAACAUGUGGUUUAAUUCGACACUACGCGAGGAACCUUACCUAGGCUUGACAUGCUUUUGACAGCCGUAGAAACACGGUCUUCCUAACUUGUUAGGACAAUUGCACAGGUGCUGCAUGGUUGUCGUCAGCUCGUGUCGUGAGAUGUUGGGUUAAGUCCUUUAACGAGCGCAACCCUUGCCGAUAGUUGCUAUUUGCUUGCAAAGCACUCUAUCGGGACUGCCUGGGAAACCAGGAGGAAGGUGGGGAUGACGUCAAAUCAUCAUGGUCCUUAUGUCUAGGGCUACACACGUGUUACAAUGGCCAGUACAAAAGGUAGCAAUCCCGUAAGGAGGAGCAAACCCCAAAAGCUGGUCUAAGUUCGGAUUGCGGUCUGCAACUCGACCGCAUGAAGUUGAAAUCGCUAGUAAUCGCGUAUCAGCAACGACGCGGUGAAUACGUUCACGGGCCUUGUACACACCGCCCGU
rnacentral:rRNA from 1 species